rnacentral:rRNA from 1 species
AGUGAACGCUGGCGGUAGGCCUAACACAUGCAAGUCGAACGGCAGCACAGUAAGAGCUUGCUCUUACGGGUGGCGAGUGGCGGACGGGUGAGGAAUACAUCGGAAUCUACUUUUUCGUGGGGGAGAACGUAGGGAAACUUACGCUAAUACCGCAUACGACGUACGGGUGAAAGCAGGGGAUCUUCGGACCUUGCGCGAUUGAAUGAGCCGAUGUCGGAUUAGCUAGUUGGCGGGGUAAAGGCCCACCAAGGCGACGAUCCGUAGCUGGUCUGAGAGGAUGAUCAGCCACACUGGAACUGAGACGCGGUCCAGACUCCUACGGGAGGCAGCAGUGGGGAAUAUUGGACAAUGGGCGCAAGCCUGAUCCAGCCAUACCGCGUGUGUGAAGAAGGCCUUCGGGUUGUAAAGCCCUUUUGGUGGGGAAGAAAAGCAGCAAGUUAAUACCCCGCUGUUCUGACGGUACCCAAAGAAUAAGCACCGGCUAACUUCGUG